UACGUAGGGUGCAAGCGUUAUCCGGAAUUAUUGGGCGUAAAGAGCUCGUAGGUGGUUUGUCGCGUCUGCUGUGAAAACUGGGGGCUCAACCCCCAGCCUGCAGUGGGUACGGGCAGACUAGAGUGCGGUAGGGGAGAUUGGAAUUCCUGGUGUAGCGGUGGAAUGCGCAGAUAUCAGGAGGAACACCGAUGGCGAAGGCAGAUCUCUGGGCCGUAACUGACGCUGAGGAGCGAAAGCGUGGGGAGCGAACAGG
rnacentral:rRNA from 1 species